rnacentral:rRNA from 1 species
CCUACGGGAGUCAGCAGUGAGGAAUAUUGGUCAAUGGACGAGAGUCUGAACCAGCCAAGUCGCGUGAAGGAUGACUGCCCUCUGGGUUGUAAACUUCUUUUAUAAAGGAAUAAAACGAGGCACGUGUGCCUUUUUGCAUGUACUUUAUGAAUAAGGAUCGGCUAACUCCGUGCCAGCAGCCGCGGUAAUACGGAGGAUCCGAGGGUUAUCGGAAUUUAUUGGGUUAAAGGGGGCGUAGAUGGGUUGUUAAGUUCGUUUGGAAAGUUUGCGGCUCAAACGUAAAAUUGCAAGUGAUACUGGCAGUCUUGAGUACAGUUGAGGUAGGCGGAAUGCGUGGUGUAGCGGUGAAAUGCUGAGAUAUCACGAAGAACCCCGAUUGCGAAGGCAGCUUACUAAACUGUGACUGACAUUGAUGCUCGAAAGUGUGGGUAUCAAACAGGAUUAGAUACCCGAGUAGUC